GCUCCCAGAUGCAGAGCGGCAGCACGGCCACCAACAGGAGAGCGUAGAGGACCAGGACCAGAGGGCGGAUCCACCUCCUCCACUCGGCACAGGAACACGGCAUCACGGCUGUUUCACCCUCAGCGUCGACUACAGGUGACUAUGCUGAAGCCGAUGGCCUCUGGUACAGCCAGCACCAUGGACAGCAGCCAGACCAUCACUAUCUCCACCGCCGUUACCAUUGGAACACCUGUGCCCUGUACCCGAGACCAGGACGCCACCGCACGAUACCUGGGUACAAGAGCACACAGAUUGAAGACGGUGAUGCCAACUGACGCUUUUUGGAGGAAGGGGAAGAGUUUGCAGAGGAACAGGCCAAAAUCACUGUCGACAAACGGCCACCGGCCGGCCAGGAGCUGCACACGUACAAACACAAGCAUUAAC